ACGGAAGGCAGCAGUGGGGGGUAUUGCACAAUGGGGGAACCCUGAUGCAGCGACGCCGCGUGAGCGAAGAAGAUCUUCGGAUUGUAAAGCUCUGUCUUAGGGGACGAUAAUGACGGUACCCUGAAAGGAAGCCACGGCUAACUGCGUGCCAGCAGCCGCGGUAAUACGUAGGUGGCAAGCGUUGUCCGGAAUUACUGGGUGUAAAGGGAGCGCAGGCGGGUCGACAAGUUGGAAGUGAAAAUUACGGGCUCAACUCGUAAACUGCUUUCAAAACUGCCGAUCUUGAGUGGUGUAGAGGUAGGCGGAAUUCCCGGUGUAGCGGUGGACUGCGUAGAUAGCGGGAGGAACACCAGUGGCGAAGGCGGCCUACUGGGCACUAACUGACGCUGAGGCUCGAAAGCAUGGGUAGCAAACAGGAUUAGAUACCCUGGUA
rnacentral:rRNA from 1 species